UGCAAGUCGAACGAUGAAGCCUUUAGCUUGCUAGAGGUGGAUUAGUGGCGCACGGGUGAGUAAGGUAUAGUUAAUCUGCCUUGCACUGGGGGACAACAUUUAGAAAUGAGUGCUAAUACCCCAUACUCCACUAUAACACAAGUUAUAGUGGGAAAGUUUUUCGGUGCAAGAUGAGACUAUAUAGUAUCAGCUAGUUGGUAAGGUAAAGGCUUACCAAGGCUAUGACGCUUAACUGGUCUGAGAGGAUGAUCAGUCACAUUGGAACUGAGACACGGUCCAAACUCCUACGGGAGGCAGCAGUGGGGAAUAUUGCGCAAUGGGCGAAAGCCUGACGCAGCAACGCCGCGUGGAGGAUGACACUUUUCGGAGCGUAAACUCCUUUUCUUAGGGAAGAAUUCUGACGGUACCUAAGGAAUAAGCACCGGCUAACUCCGUGCCAGCAGCCGCGGUAAUACGGAGGGUGCAAACGUUACUCGGAAUCACUGGGCGUAAAGGGCGCGUAGGCGGAUUAUCAAGUCUCUUGUGAAAUCUAAUGGCUCAACCAUUAAACUGCUUGGGAAACUGAUAGUCUAGAGUAAGGGAGAGGCAGAUGGAAUUGGUGGUGUAGGGGUAAAAUCCGUAGAUAUCACCAAGAAUACCCAUUGCGAAGGCGAUCUGCUGGAACUUAACUGACGCUAAGGCGCGAAAGCGUGGGGAGCAAACAGGAUUAGAUACCCUGGUAGUCCACGCCCUAAACGAUGUAUGCUAGUUGUUGGGGUGCUAGUCAUCUCAGUAAUGCAGCUAACGCAUUAAGCAUACCGCCUGGGGAGUACGGUCGCAAGAUUAAAACUCAAAGGAAUAGACGGGGACCCGCACAAGCGGUGGAGCAUGUGGUUUAAUUCGAGGAUACGCGAAGAACCUUACCUGGGCUUGAUAUCCAACUAAUUCUUUAGAGAUAAAGAAGUGCUAGCUUGCUAGAAAGUUGAGACAGGUGCUGCACGGCUGUCGUCAGCUCGUGUCGUGAGAUGUUGGGUUAAGUCCCGCAACGAGCGCAACCCUCGUCCUUAGUUGCUAACAGCUCGGCUGAGCACUCUAAGGAGACUGCCUUCGUAAGGAGGAGGAAGGUGGGGACGAUGUCAAGUCAUCAUGGCCCUUAUGCCCAGGGCGACACACGUGCUACAAUGGCAUAUACAAUGAGACGCAAUACCGUGAGGUGGAGCAAAUCUAUAAAAUAUGUCCCAGUUCGGAUUGUUCUCUGCAACUCGAGAGCAUGAAGCCGGAAUCGCUAGUAAUCGCAAAUCAGCCAUGUUGCGGUGAAUACGUUCCCGGGUCUUGUACUCACCGCCCGUCAAACCAUGGGAGUUGAUUUCACUCG
rnacentral:rRNA from 2 species